GUGGGGAAUAUUGGACAAUGGGCGAAAGCCUGAUCCAGCCAUGCCGCGUGUGUGAAGAAGGCCUUUUGGUUGUAAAGCACUUUAAGCGAGGAGGAGGCUACCGAGAUUAAUACUCUUGGAUAGUGGACGUUACUCGCAGAAUAAGCACCGGCUAACUCUGUGCCAGCAGCCGCGGUAAUACAGAGGGUGCAAGCGUUAAUCGGAUUUACUGGGCGUAAAGCGCGCGUAGGUGGCCAAUUAAGUCAAAUGUGAAAUCCCCGAGCUUAACUUGGGAAUUGCAUUCGAUACUGGUUGGCUAGAGUAUGGGAGAGGAUGGUAGAAUUCCAGGUGUAGCGGUGAAAUGCGUAGAGAUCUGGAGGAAUACCGAUGGCGAAGGCAGCCAUCUGGCCUAAUACUGACACUGAGGUGCGAAAGCAUGGGGAGCAAACAGGAUUAGAUACCCCUGUAGUCC
rnacentral:rRNA from 1 species